UGAGUAACACGUGGAUAACCUACCUAUAAGACUGGGAUAACUUCGGGAAACCGUAGCUAAUACCGGAUAAUAUUUUGAACCGCAUGGUUCAAAAGUGAAAGACGGUCUUGCUGUCACUUAUAGAUGGAUCCGCGCUGCAUUAGCUAGUUGGUAAGGUAACGGCUUACCAGGGCAACGAUGCAUAGCCGACCUGAGAGGGUGAUCGGCCACACUGGAACUGAGACACGGUCCAG
rnacentral:rRNA from 1 species